AACGAACGCUGGCGGCAUGCUUAACACAUGCAAGUCAAACGAGAAAGUCUCUUCGGAGAUGAUUAGAGUGGCGCACGGGUGAGUAACGCGUAGAUAAUCUACCCUUGAGUUUGGGAUAACCCUUCGAAAGGAGGGCUAAUACCGGAUAAUACAUUAAUCUGAGUGGAUUGAUGUUGAAAGCUCCGGCGCUUGGGGAUGAGUCUGCGUUCCAUUAGCUAGUUGGUGGGGUAAAGGCCUACCAAGGCAACGAUGGAUAGCGGGUCUGAGAGGACGAUCCGCCACACUGGAACUGAGAUACGGUCCAG
rnacentral:rRNA from 1 species